CCUACGGGAGGCAGCAGUGAGGAAUAUUGGUCAAUGGACGAGAGUCUGAACCAGCCAAGUAGCGUGAAGGAUGAAUGCCCUAUGGGUUGUAAACUUCUUUUAUAUGGGAAUAAAAUGUUCCACGUGUGGGAUUUUGUAUGUACCAUAUGAAUAAGGAUCGGCUAACUCCGUGCCAGCAGCCGCGGUAAUACGGAGGGUCCGAGCGUUAUCCGGAUUUAUUGGGUUUAAAGGGAGCGUAGGUGGAUUGUUAAGUCAGUUGUGAAAGUUUGCGGCUCAACCGUAAAAUUGCAGUUGAAACUGGCAGGCUUGAGUACAGUAGAGGUGGGUGGAAUUCGAGGUGUAGCGGUGAAAUGCUUAGAGAUCACGAAGAAUUCCGAUUGCGAAGGCAGCUCACUGGACUGAAACUGACACUGAGGCGCGAAAGUGUGGGUAUCAAACAGGAUUAGAUACCCCAGUAGUC
rnacentral:rRNA from 1 species